rnacentral:rRNA from 1 species
AGAAUCAACGCUGGCGGCGUGCCUAACACAUGCAAGUCGCACGAGAAAGGGUAGCAAUACCUGAGUAAAGUGGCGCACGGGUGAGUAACACGUGACUAACCUACCCUUGAGUGGGGGAUAACCUAGAGAAAUCUGGGCUAAUACCGCAUAAUACCUUCGGGUCAAAGGAGCAAUUCGCUUAAGGAGGGGGUCGCGGCCGAUUAGUUAGUUGGCGGGGUAAUGGCCCACCAAGACUAUGAUCGGUA